GACGAACGCUGGCGGCGUGCCUAAUACAUGCAAGUUGAGCGCUGAAGGUUGGUACUUGUACCGACUGGAUGAGCAGCGAACGGGUGAGUAACGCGUGGGGAAUCUGCCUUUGAGCGGGGGACAACAUCUGGAAACGAAUGCUAAUACCGCAUAAAAACUUUAAACACAAGUUUUAAGUUUGAAAGAUGCAAUUGCAUCACUCAAAGAUGAUCCCGCGUUGUAUUAGCUAGUUGGUGAGGUAAAGGCUCACCAAGGCGAUGAUACAUAGCCGACCUGAGAGGGUGGUCGGCCACAUUGGGACUGGGACACGGCCCAAGAUCCUUCGGGAGGCAGCAGUAGGGAAUCUUCGGCAAUGGAGGAAAGUCUGACCGAGCAACGCCGCGUGAGUGGAGAAGGUUUUCGGAUCGUAAAACUCUGUUGGUAGGGAAGAACGUUGGUGAGAGUGGAAAGCUCAUCAAGUGACGGUAACUAACCAGAAAGGGACGGCUAACUACGUG
rnacentral:rRNA from 1 species